rnacentral:rRNA from 1 species
ACUAAGCGUACACGGUGGAUGCCCUGGCAGUCAGAGGCGAUGAAGGACGUGCUAAUCUGCGAUAAGCGUCGGUGAGGUGAUAUGAACCGUUAUAACCGGCGAUUUCCGAAUGGGGAAACCCAGUGUGAUUCGUCACACUAUCAUUAACUGAAUCCAUAGGUUAAUGAGGCGAACCGGGGGAACUGAAACAUCUAAGUACCCCGAGGAAAAGAAAUCAACCGAGAUUCCCCCAGUAGCGGCGAGCGAACGGGGAGGAGCCCAGAGCCUGAAUCAGUGUGUGUGUUAGUGGAAGCGUCUGGAAAGGCGCGCGAUACAGGGUGACAGCCCCGUACACAAAAAUGCACAUAUUGUGAGCUCGAUGAGUAGGGCGGGACACGUGGUAUCCUGUCUGAAUAUGGGGGGACCAUCCUCCAAGGCUAAAUACUCCUGACUGACCGAUAGUGAACCAGUACCGUGAGGGAAAGGCGAAAAGAACCCCGGCGAGGGGAGUGAAAAAGAACCUGAAACCGUGUACGUACAAGCAGUGGGAGCCUCUUAAUGGGGUGACUGCGUACCUUUUGUAUAAUGGGUCAGCGACUUAUAUUCUGUAGCAAGGUUAACCGAAUAGGGGAGCCGAAGGGAAACCGAGUCUUAACUGGGCGUUAAGUUGCAGGGUAUAGACCCGAAACCCGGUGAUCUAGCCAUGGGCAGGUUGAAGGUUGGGUAACACUAACUGGAGGACCGAACCGACUAAUGUUGAAAAAUUAGCGGAUGACUUGUGGCUGGGGGUGAAAGGCCAAUCAAACCGGGAGAUAGCUGGUUCUCCCCGAAAGCUAUUUAGGUAGCGCCUCGUGAAUUCAUCUCCGGGGGUAGAGCACUGUUUCGGCAAGGGGGUCAUCCCGACUUACCAACCCGAUGCAAACUGCGAAUACCGGAGAAUGUUAUCACGGGAGACACACGGCGGGUGCUAACGUCCGUCGUGAAGAGGGAAACAACCCAGACCGCCAGCUAAGGUCCCAAAGUCAUGGUUAAGUGGGAAACGAUGUGGGAAGGCCCAGACAGCCAGGAUGUUGGCUUAGAAGCAGCCAUCAUUUAAAGAAAGCGUAAUAGCUCACUGGUCGAGUCGGCCUGCGCGGAAGAUGUAACGGGGCUAAACCAUGCACCGAAGCUGCGGCAGCGACACUAUGUGUUGUUGGGUAGGGGAGCGUUCUGUAAGCCUGUGAAGGUGGCCUGUGAGGGUUGCUGGAGGUAUCAGAAGUGCGAAUGCUGACAUAAGUAACGAUAAAGCGGGUGAAAAGCCCGCUCGCCGGAAGACCAAGGGUUCCUGUCCAACGUUAAUCGGGGCAGGGUGAGUCGACCCCUAAGGCGAGGCCGAAAGGCGUAGUCGAUGGGAAACAGGUUAAUAUUCCUGUACUUGGUGUUACUGCGAAGGGGGGACGGAGAAGGCUAUGUUGGCCGGGCGACGGUUGUCCCGGUUUAAGCGUGUAGGCUGGUUUUCCAGGCAAAUCCGGAAAAUCAAGGCUGAGGCGUGAUGACGAGGCACUACGGUGCUGAAGCGACAAAUGCCCUGCUUCCAGGAAAAGCCUCUAAGCAUCAGGUAACAUCAAAUCGUACCCCAAACCGACACAGGUGGUCAGGUAGAGAAUACCAAGGCGCUUGAGAGAACUCGGGUGAAGGAACUAGGCAAAAUGGUGCCGUAACUUCGGGAGAAGGCACGCUGAUAUGUAGGUGAAGCGACUUGCUCGUGGAGCUGAAAUCAGUCGAAGAUACCAGCUGGCUGCAACUGUUUAUUAAAAACACAGCACUGUGCAAACACGAAAGUGGACGUAUACGGUGUGACGCCUGCCCGGUGCCGGAAGGUUAAUUGAUGGGGUUAGCGGUAACGCGAAGCUCUUGAUCGAAGCCCCGGUAAACGGCGGCCGUAACUAUAACGGUCCUAAGGUAGCGAAAUUCCUUGUCGGGUAAGUUCCGACCUGCACGAAUGGCGUAAUGAUGGCCAGGCUGUCUCCACCCGAGACUCAGUGAAAUUGAACUCGCUGUGAAGAUGCAGUGUACCCGCGGCAAGACGGAAAGACCCCGUGAACCUUUACUAUAGCUUGACACUGAACAUUGAGCCUUGAUGUGUAGGAUAGGUGGGAGGCUUUGAAGUGUGGACGCCAGUCUGCAUGGAGCCGACCUUGAAAUACCACCCUUUAAUGUUUGAUGUUCUAACGUGGGCCCCUUACCGGGGUUGCGGACAGUGUCUGGUGGGUAGUUUGACUGGGGCGGUCUCCUCCUAAAGAGUAACGGAGGAGCACGAAGGUUGGCUAAUCCUGGUCGGACAUCAGGAGGUUAGUGCAAUGGCAUAAGCCAGCUUGACUGCGAGCGUGACGGCGCGAGCAGGUGCGAAAGCAGGUCAUAGUGAUCCGGUGGUUCUGAAUGGAAGGGCCAUCGCUCAACGGAUAAAAGGUACUCCGGGGAUAACAGGCUGAUACCGCCCAAGAGUUCAUAUCGACGGCGGUGUUUGGCACCUCGAUGUCGGCUCAUCACAUCCUGGGGCUGAAGUAGGUCCCAAGGGUAUGGCUGUUCGCCAUUUAAAGUGGUACGCGAGCUGGGUUUAGAACGUCGUGAGACAGUUCGGUCCCUAUCUGCCGUGGGCGCUGGAGAACUGAGGGGGGCUGCUCCUAGUACGAGAGGACCGGAGUGGACGCAUCACUGGUGUUCGGGUUGUCAUGCCAAUGGCACUGCCCGGUAGCUAAAUGCGGAAGAGAUAAGUGCUGAAAGCAUCUAAGCACGAAACUUGCCCCGAGAUGAGUUCUCCCUGACUCCUUGAGAGUCCUGAAGGAACGUUGAAGACGACGACGUUGAUAGGCCGGGUGUGUAAGCGCAGCGAUGCGUUGAGCUAACCGGUACUAAUGAACCGUGAGGCUUAACC